GGCCUCCCGCUGAACGGCCGUGCCGGGCUGAGCUGGCAGUGCUUCACGGCCGGGGGGGAAUGGUGGAGGUGGUUCCCGCUGUGGGAAAGUUUGGGAAGCCCUAAUGUAGGCUAGUGCCAAACCUUUGGGUCAUCAGAUGGUGCUCUAGACGCCUGCUGACUCCAAAACCACCACUCAGCCUGAUUCCUGAUGCUCCUGUCUCCCUGUUCUUUGGGUGGUGGUGGCUGUGCUAGCUGAAGGUGAUUCCACAGGGCCGCCUGGGGCCAUGCUGGAUUCCCGGCUGCAUUGGUAGCACUGGCAGGUGAAGUGCCAGAAACAGUGUAACACAGCAAGACUGCAUUUCACAGGGAGACAGCAGAGACAUGUAAAUGCACGGCUCGCAUCGAUGGGGCCUCUCCAACGGUGUCAAAAGUUUGCGUUCCCAUGGGAUGGCAAGAGGCUGAUUUGGUUUGCUGCUUGCUGUGGCUGUGCCGGAGCUUCUGGCAGCCUGGAGCUGUGUGCUGCUGGCAGGGGACACUGCCUGGUUUCUUGUCUCCUGCCCCUGUCCGGCAGUGAGGCUGGCAGAGCCAUCACUCCCUCGUUGUUAAAUUAAUGGGACAUGUUUUGCUCAUCAUGGUCUGUGGUAUUUGCAAAGCACUUUGACGUGUGCGUUGUUAGGUGUUCUGGGUAGUCCUGCAGCCAUGCUGGGGAAGGGGCUGGAUGUGUCACCUGCUGCUGACAACCCCAUGAGGUGCAGCUGAAGUGCCUGCCAGAGGUGCCUUGUUUUUUGUGGAUGAGCUACAUCCUGACUUUGAGAACCGUUGCACCGUAUUUCAGUCUCCUGAUCUCAGACACCUCAACCUCAGAACGUGCACCUGAUGGAAUGAGUCCAGAGGAGAGCCACAAAGUGGUGGUCAAAGGGUGGUCAAAGGGCUGGACCACCUCUCCAAUGAAGAUGAGUUGAGCUAGUUCAGCUUGGAAAAGGGGAAGCUUUGAAGAGCCUUACAGCAACCUUUCAAUACCUAAAGAGGGCCUGCGAGAGAGCUAAAGAGGGAUUGUUGGCAAGGGCCUGUAGUGACAGAGGGUAAUGGCUUCAAACUGACAGAGGGCAGGUUUAGAUUAGUUAUUAGGAAGGAAUGUUUCCUAUGAGGGUGAUGAGGCCUUGGCACAGGCUGCCCAGAGGAGCUCUGAGUGUCCCAUCUCUGGAAGUGUUCAAGGCCAUGCUGGAUGGGGCCUUGCAGGGGCUGAGGCCAGUGCAAUGGGGAUGUGCCCUCAGUGCAGCUGAGCACCACAAUGAAGACAAUCCUGACGCUGCCUGUGAGUCCUCCCCAUGGUGCCUCAGCAUCAGGACUUGGGGAAACAGGUGAGUGUUCUACCUGCUCUCACAAACACAAAUGAUACCAGGAAGAAGAAUCCCUAUUCAGAAUUGUUAGAAUUUUCCUUUUAGUUAAGGCUGGAGGGAAAAAGAUGAAAUGAGAAGACCCACCACUGUACUGUUUGGUUGCUUUGCUCUAGUCUGCAUUCAGCAGAAUCUGGGGGAAUGACUGUCUUCCUGAAAGACAACCUUCAAUCAGAAAAGAAAUCCAACCUAAAGUCCUCAUUAAAAUAUUCCAAAGGGAGGAAUUGGAUUACCUGUGGCUGUGCACUGGGAGAAAAAACACCAAGCUAUCCUCUGAUGCUUUUAAAACAUCAGCUGAGACACCAUUUUAGGAGGCAGGUGAGUAUGGUGGGCCCCAGAGCAGUGAUGCUGCUCUCCCACCGAGCGGGUACUGCAGGCACAGACCCAGCUCGGAGCGUCACUGCCAGCGCAGGAGCCCUGGGAAGCGGUGCUGUUCCGCGCCUCGGCACCGCCUGCUAGUUUUUGCAGAAUGAGGAAAACGCUCUCGCCUGACCCGGGGCCUCCUUCCCCCUGGGAGAGCACAGAUGGUCUCCUGGUGAAGGUGUGGGCCUGGAAAUUGGGAGCUCUGGAUGCCUUUCCCGGCUACAUCAGAAACUUGCUAUGUGGCACCACCUACUUCUGCGCCCACGUUUCCUCCUACUCCUUCUCUCUCGCUCGCCGCUUUUUCCAGACCUUUCACCUCGCUGCUCGAAUGUGUUUUUCCUUUCGCAGAGUGCUUUUCUCAGACUCCAAAGCCUCCUGGUGCGCUGUCACCAGUACCUGGACCACACACCCACUCCUGCCCGGGCUUCUUCUGCCCUUUCACCCUUCCCAUCGAUCCUCCCUUCCCCUUGCAGUGCUGCUGCCGUUUGAUUUCUCCUCCUGACACUGCUCAUGGCCAGAAUUCUCCUUGUUCUUCUCUGGGAGUGUCGCUCCCGGUUUUCCGCAGGCAGAGCUGAGGUGGGUGCUGAGGGCAGAGCCAGCAGCAGGCAGGCUGUAGCCCCUGCUCGGGCAAGCCUGCUGGCAGGAGUGCUGGGAAAUCGAUGGAUGUGACUCACAGCUCAGCAGCCUGACUCAGCCCAUGGGUUUUCUGUUUUGGACCGAAUGAAACCCUUAGAGCUGGGUCCUGCUCAUUCUCUUGGCUGCAUUUGUCACAAGGCUCUGGGUUUUGCUGGGAUUUGUUGCUUCAAUGUGAUGUUCCCCAUUCUUGGCUGGAAGCGUGUGCUUUGUGGAGCAGGCCCUGCCUAGCUAAUACGUCUGGGACAGAUUUUUUCUUCCUCAAAGAUGAUCUGUGUGACAUGACAUCGUGCAUCCCCUUCCCAAGGGCUCCUGGCAAGGACUUUGCUUUCCGUGCUCUGUCCAGGCUGUGGCUGUCAAUGUCAAUUGAUAUUAAGUGACUAAUUACAAUGUGUAAGUUAUUUAUUGUGCCUCAAAAGGAUGAGAUGUGUCACCAUAGGACACGAAAGAAAGACGAAAAUACUCUAGAUCAGAAGGCCAAAAGUAUAGAAGGUUUUAUUGUCUAAUUCUUAGCACCUUUCAUAAGGUGUUCUGAUACAGACUUAACAUGAUUGGUGACUAGGAACGACACCUCUCGAAUCCCAUUGGUGAAACUAGAGAAACAGCAAAACACCACCUGGAGAAAGAUUGUUUUGCGAAAGGAUAGUUGUUUUGCCAAGAUUGUUUUAAGAAGAGGCUUUCUCGAGAACUUUUCCCUUGGGAAAGAGUUAAGCACUACUAGCAGGCUAAAAUCUCUUCAGACUUAGAAAUGUCAGGCCCACAGAGAUGCCCACUCCUAAGUCAAAACACCUGCAGGAUUUCUAAAGCCAGAUCCAGUCUGGGCUGCCAGGCAUGUUUUGCUGCUCCUGGUCACGCAAGGGCUGGAUCAAGGUGGUGAGCCAUGGUUAGCAGAGCCCAGAUGUUGGUGGUGUCAAACCCUUCAGCAGCAUCCUCAGCAGCUGCUGUUACAGCUCACUGCCCAGAGCGAGCACCAGGAACGGCGUGGGACUCACUUGGAGGCACAGCCCUGUUUCACUGCUGUUCCCAUUCGGGGUGAGAAUUGGGAUGUGACUCAGGCUUGCUCCAACCCAUGUUGAUGCAGCCUGUGCCCCUUGGAGAGCUCUGUGCCAACAGUCCCAUUCCUCGAGGUCCCCCUCGGUCGGGUUCUACCUUGGGCACACACAGCAGUGACUCUGUGACUUCAACUCGCAGCAGAAGCCUCUCCUUGAUGGAAUGAGAGUGGGUCUGCUGGGGCAGCGGCCCGGUUAAUUGGGUGUUUUAGUGGUAGAGUAUGGGAACCCAGUAGAAGCUGCAGUCCUGGUCUCCUGCCACGCUUUUGGUGGGGACACUCAUGAAGAAGCUAUCAGGAUGUCAUCUGGAUCCAAAUGUCCAGGGAGUCUGAGAACACCAGAGGUCCACUCCUAAUAGGAGUGUGCUUAAGAUAGAGACCAGAGGCAUCUCCUCUCUUCAACAAAACACCAGGGUGAGGAAAACAGCUUGCCUAGUCUGCAGCGAAAAGCUGGAGUGAGGGAAAGAAGCAAUGCCAGCAGGAUAAGGGGAUGCCAGGAUAUAACCCUGGAAUCUACAGUUCACAGCUUUCAUUUUUCUGGAACAAGCCAAAGGUGGGACAAGCCUGGUGGUGCUGGGAGUGAGGUCUGAAGCUGGUGGCAUCCCCACAUGCUGCAGAAGGGCAGGCAGAGCGGAGCAGCUUGGGAAUGUGUGGCAAGGCAAAAGGUGAACCACAGGACUGGUUGAAAAUAUUUCUGCUUUUCAUAACCCAGCAAUCCAUCUUGCAUGUAAAUUAGGUGUCUGAAAUGUUCCCACCACCAUCAGCAGGAUUUCUAUCUGCCUGCAAGAAAGGGAGCUGGGUAGGAGCCUUGUGUUACUGACUAAUCUUGCAAGGGGAGAAAAUAUAAGAACUAAUUAAAUUAAGUCUUAUUUAAUACUUGGCUCAGGGAUAGGAUGGUAAUAAAAGAAGAGAAACUGUUUCCUUGUUGUAAUAUGGUAGAGCAUUAAUUAAGGAAAAAAAAAAAAAAGGCCCCAAAUGGUUGUGAUGCCAAGCUGCAUUAAUAUCCAGCUGUUGUGCUUUGCAUCUGCUGGAAUGCUGAGAGUCCUUUAAAAUAUGCGACUCUGGGUUUGCAUAAACAAAACCAAUGAUCAAGGCUGAGGGACAGCAAAUCAAAGGGAAAGCAGAGAUGCUCUGCAGUAGAGGGGCAGGAGACAGAGUUUAUUAAGGACUACCAGAGUAGAACACGAGCCCCUGGUCCUUCAGUCCUCUCCUGUUGCCACUGCAGCCUCCAGCAAGGUUUCUGCACUGUGGAACUGCUGGGGCUCUUCCUUCCCCCACUCAGCCAAAGAGAUGGCCAGUAGAGCUGAUGAGAGAAACAAAGGAGUAUUACCUCAUCCCUAAACCUGCAAUCUUUUAAUCUAGAAAUUGAGAAUUAGGAUUGUCUUUUGACAUGUCUUCUACAAACUUUAUACAAUCAAUGCACAAAUAUUUUUA